rnacentral:rRNA from 1 species
CCUACGGGUGGCAGCAGUGAGGAAUAUUGGUCAAUGGCCGAGAGGCUGAACCAGCCAAGUCGCGUGAGGGAAGACGGCCCUACGGGUUGUAAACCUCUUUUGUCGUGGAGCAAAGCCAACCACGUGUGGUUCAUUGAGAGUACCCUAAGAAAAAGCAUCGGCUAACUCCGUGCCAUCAGCCGCGGUAAUACGGAGGAUGCGAGCGUUAUCCGGAUUUAUUGGGUUUAACGGGUGCGCAGGCGGAGGUGCAAGUCAGCGGUCAAAUUGCGGGGCUCAACCCCGGACUGCCGUUGAAACUGGAUGCCUUGAGUGCGCGAGAAGUAUGCGGAAUGCGUGGUGUAGCGGUGAAAUGCAUAGAUAUCACGCAGAACUCCGAUUGCGAAGGCAGCAUACCGGCGCGAAACUGACGCUCAUGCACGAAAGCGUGGGUAUCGAACAGGAUUAGAUACCCCAGUAGUC